rnacentral:rRNA from 1 species
AUUGAACGCUGGCGGCAUGCUUUACACAUGCAAGUCGAACGGUAACAGGUUAAGCUGACGAGUGGCGAACGGGUGAGUAAUGCAUCGGAACGUGCCCGGUCGUGGGGGAUAACGCAGCGAAAGCUGCGCUAAUACCGCAUACGCUCUAAGGAUGAAAGCGGGGGACCGUAAGGACUCGCGCGAUCGGAGCGGCCGAUGUCAGAUUAGGUAGUUGGUGGGGUAAAGGCUCACCAAGCCAACGAUCGGUAGCUGGUCUGAGAGGACGACCCGCCACACUGGGACUGAGACACGGCCCAGACUCCUACGGGAGGCAGCAGUGGGGAAUUUUGGACAAUGGGCGAAAGCCUGAUCCAGCAAUGCCGCGUGCAGGAAGAAGGCCUUCGGGUUGUAAACUGCUUUUGUACGGAGCGAAAAGGUCUCCUCUAAUACAGGGGGCUCAUGACGGUACCGUAAGAAUAAGCACCGGCUAACUACGUGCCAGCCGCCGCAGUAA